ensembl:lncRNA
AUGCUGCUUCCCGUUUUGUCAUUUGGGGUUCAAACCCACCUCUGUAAUAGCCACCAUCUGAAGGCCUGCAAAUCCUGCCGCAGCAAUGGUCAGUCCAGCUGCUACCGCUGUACUGGUUCCCGCUACCAUGGGAACUACCGUGAUUCCCGCUGGGCUCCUGUGCUUCCACUGGUGGCUCUCACUUACAUCACAUGCUGCCUUAAGGCUGCGAGUGGGGAUCAGUCCCAUCCACGCCAAAGGGAGUGGGUAGCUCCCCAGAGGGGAAAUGGAUGCAGGGAAGGAUGCAACAAUUACCCAGUGUUGGAACCCACAGAUGCCACAUAUGUUUGGGCUGAAAUCCACCUUGGGCUCUUUUCCAUGAGGCUGUUCACUGUAGUCUAGGGCCCCAUUUGCCUGGAGAAGAGUGUGGGCAGAGAUGCUAUUGGCUAGUGAUAGUCCUUGGAGCCAGGUACCUCCGCCAGGAAGAUAAAGUAUGGACUUGGUGUCUGGAACAAGGGAAAAGUCCAGUUAUAAGAAGUUGAGACAAAUAAUUAAAAGGGCGAAUGGCAUCGGUCAUGUGCUGAAUCCCUGAAUCUUGAAUGCAAGCUGCUCAGGCCUUCUCUCUCUCAGAGGUAGACUGGUUCUAGAACCUCGGGUGGAAUUAAACUUGCAAAGUGGGUGGUCAUGUGUUUCACCAUGGGGCUUUGAAGACCAGGAGUAGAGGGGACCGACAAAUUUAUAUAGUAGAACAUGCAAAUUGCUUAUUACUGGGUUGGUUGGUUAAUAGGUAUGUUUAUGUGCAGAAGAACAUACAGCCUCCCAAUUAGCAAGAGGGCUUUUAAAAAAAUAAAAGCUAGGAGAGGGAAAAAAAAAGAAAAAGAUGUGUUUAGGGAAAGUGGGUAGGUUUGAAGGAAUGGGUCUCUCUGAAGAUUACAGGUAAAACUCCAAGUCUCCAAUCCAGCCAGGGUGUUAGUGAUUAGAAAUCAUUAUUAUAUGACCAUUUGCCGUUUGGUGGAGUGUUUGGAAUGAGCUAGUUAAUCCCAUUCCAAUUCAUAAUGGGCAGGUAGCCAAGUCAUACAAAACACCUUGACAAUCCAUACUAAUUGGUUUGUCUCUAUGGAGCCCCCAAGGUGAAUUGCCCAUGGAGAUGGACAUUUCCCUCAACCCGGCCCCCCCCCAUUUCAACUCUCCCUCCUCUCUCCUACCACCACCACACACACACACACACACACACACACACACACACACACACACACACGGCACUGGAAUGUUUUGCUUUUAAAUAACAUCAUUUUGUCCACCCAUUUUUCUGGGCUCUAAAUUUCCCCAAGCUUUCUUUUUAAAAGAAGGAGUGGAUUGGAGGUAAGGAAAGUAAACUGAAUGCCCUUGGGACAUUUUCAGGGUCAUUUGUAUUUUCAGAGUAGGCUUCAUUGCCAAGGGUAGUAAGAAAAAAAGUUAUCUGUGGACAAAACAAAAAUGCAAUUCAUGUUUUGGAAGGCCAGGGAAACAAAUUCCCAGACAAAGAUUCAUACAGCCUAGAAAUAGUUUCAGAAAGAUCUACCGACCCACAAAAACUUCUACCAGCCCACAGAAUCAUUUCCAAGAAUGGCUAAUCAUGUACUAUUGAGAAAUACCCCCCAAAAAGGAUAAAAAUACGGGUGUAUGCAACUUUGAUUGAUAGCUGGGUUUUGAAUAAAUAAUUACCCUUUACACCUGAAAGUUGGCUUUACCAAGCAAGCGCUGACCACCUCUGGGCUCAGUUGAUUUUCUGGGCAUUUCUAAGGGGCAGUAAGAUUGAUAGCAGUCCCUCCAUUUGGUCAGUGUUGUGUUCCGUCGGCUAGCUGGGCAAGCAGGGGCACCUGGUAGCAGUUAUGUGAACCUCACCAGCUGUGUGACCUUGAGUAAUCACCUGACGUUCCUGGGCCUCAGUUUUUUAAUCAACCAUCCUUACCCUAGGCUCUCUGCUUAAAUGAAAAGUAUAUUUUAUAUUUAAAUAACAUGUUUUUAGCUUUCAGUUUUAAAUUACUUAACCUUUGGUGCAUUUGGGUUUUACAUAAGGAAGGGAAACUUCCAUGUAAUGAAAUCCCGUAAUAACCCUUCCUUUAUUAAUGUGACAUUGCCCACCCCCUCAUCCCCCGCAGCGGAGGGUAAAUUAAAGCGUAUAACCCAGUGUAAACAUUUGUCAGCCCAAAUGCAUUUAUAGACAUUCAGUGUGUGCAGACACCUGGUUAUUUACAUGAUUUAUACCAUUAGUGCGUCAUUUCUAGAUAGGAUGAAUUUCGAAUACGUGUUCCUCGUAAGCCUUGCUGUGAGUUUUGACAGAAGUAAAUAAUCGUACCUUUAAUUAUCUCUGUCUGUAGAAUGUGGUAGAUAGGGAACAAUGGGUAUGAAAUACUCAUCCUCCUAGGGUGCAAGAGGGAUGAAAAAAGUUUUCGUAAAGUACAAGACAGAAGGAAGUCAUUUCUGAGUAAGCCCAUUAGAUGUUUUUCUUGCUCCCUAAUCACAAAGCCUAGACACCACUGAAAGGAAAAUGAUCUGAUAGGCUCCUGUUUACCACUGCUUGAGGGUAGAGGGAGAUUUGAUUUGAGCCUCUUGGCCUCCAUGAAAAGUCACAUAAAUAGGAAGUGAAAUUUGCAAGGGAUUCCAACAGACUCCACAAAGGUUUGCAUGGGGUGGACCAGCACAUCUCAGGCACUCACGCUGGCUCUCAGAUGUUCGUUUGGGCGUCCGUCAUGGUAAUUCAGCUUCUGUGCAGAAGAAUAAUUAAUUCUAGAGGCAUGAAAUCUGUAAAAGAAGCCCCAGCUUCUAGUCUUCUGAAAAGUCCUUGUCUCUGGAGAAGUGAGAGGAAAGUAGGGAAUCUCUACAGACUGCCCUAAAGAAAACCUGCAAGGCUUGGCAACCCAGCACUGUCCUCUGGGCUUUCUUAUCAUCCAUGUGUAUCAAUUACUAGAUAACGUCAGG